CCUACGGGUGGCAGCAGUGGGGAAUAUUGGACAAUGGGGGGAACCCUGAUCCAGCCAUGCCGCGUGUGUGAAGAAGGCCCUCGGGUUGUAAAGCACUUUCAGUGAGGAAGAACGCCUGGUGGUUAAUACCCAUCAGGAAAGACAUCACUCACAGAAGAAGCACCGGCUAACUCCGUGUCAGCAGCCGCGGUAAUACGGAGGGGGCGAGCGUUAAUCGGAAUUACUGGGCGUAAAGCGCGCGUAGGUGGCUUGAUAAGCCGGUUGUGAAAGCCCCGGGCUCAACCUGGGAACGGCAUCCGGAACUGUCAAGCUAGAGUGCAGGAGAGGAAGGUAGAAUUCCCGGUGUAGCGGUGAAAUGCGUAGAGAUCGGGAGGAAUACCAGUGGCGAAGGCGGCCUUCUGGACUGACACUGACACUGAGGUGCGAAAGCGUGGGUAGCAAACAGGAUUAGAUACCCCUGUAGUC
rnacentral:rRNA from 1 species